UUGCAAUGGUGUAAAUCUCUCACUGAAUUAAUUACCCUGUGAAGUGCAAAUAUGUGAGCUUUUAAACCCUGAACAUC
ensembl:snoRNA SNORD36 Small nucleolar RNA SNORD36